AUUGAACGCUGGCGGCAGGCUUAACACAUGCAAGUCGAGCGGGGGAAGGUAGCUUGCUACCGGACCUAGCAGCGGACGGGUGAGUAAUGCUUAGGAAUCUGCCUAUUAGUGGGGGACGUCAUCUCGAAAGGGAUGCUAAUACCGCAUACGUCCUACGGGAGAAAGCAGGGGAUCUUCGGACCUUGCGCUAAUAGCUGAGCCUAAGUCGGAGUAGCUGGUUGGUGGGGUAAAGGCCUACCAAGGCGACGAUCUGUAGCGGGUCUGAGAGGAUGAUCCGCCACACUGGGACUGAGACACGGCCCAGACUCCUACGGGAGGCAGCAGUGGGGAAUAUUGGACAAUGGGGGGGACCCUGAUCCAGCCAUGCCGCGUGUGUGAAGAAGGCCUUAUGGUUGUAAAGCACUUUAAGCGAGGAGGAGGCUACUUUAGUUAAUACCUAGAGAUAGUGGACGUUACUCGCAGAAUAAGCACCGGCUAACUCUGUGCCAGCAGCCGCAGUAA
rnacentral:rRNA from 1 species